rnacentral:tRNA from 1 species
UUUAGGAUCCUAUAAAAUAGGUUUAUCCUAUAGAUAACUAAGUAAAUGAAUCUAAUUACUUUGUGAUUUUA